rnacentral:tRNA from 1 species
AGGGGUGUCGCCAAGUGGUUUAAGGCACCGGCUUUUGACGCCGGCAUUUCGAAGGUUCGAAUCCUUCCACCUCUGC